GGAGGACUCUGAAGUCGAUGUCUCUGAUGGCGGGUCCAUACGCCGACCUUGGAUGGACAAGAAGUGAAAACGGGCGUAAGCUGCGUUGGAAAGUGCCACGGGCUGAGCUCCCAGGGAGCCUUCGCCUGGUCCAAAGUCCAGCCCCGCCCCGCUCGCUGCCGCAGUCCAGAUUUAUAAGAGCCCCAGAUCCUCGGCACUGGUUUGGCACAAGACUUCCCGAGCAGGACAUGUAACCCACAAAAUUUAGCCAGUAAGUAUUGACGAUGAAUUGAGUCUUUCUUGUGUGUCUGACCUGAAAGUAAACAAAUCACAACAAAUGUUGCCACAUGAACUAAUCUGUGCUGUAAAAUUAGAAAAAAAAAUAUGCUUGGAAAUAAAAUAAAGUUUCUGGUUGUUUUCUCGGUACACCUACAGCAGCAGCAGCAGAAGCAGCAGCAGCAGCAGCAGAGCUUUCCCCGAGCGAAAGACUAAUUCUUCUACGCUUUGAAUAUAUCUUAUCCCAUGAAUCUAGGUAUCCAGGGCUGCUCACAGCUCACUGCUUCUUGUGAGAUUUAACGAAGAUGAUGGUCUUAAAAUGGUUUUACCACAAGAAAACGUCCCCCACAAGGAAUAUACCUGUUGUCUUCCCCCGAGGCCUCUACAGCUAAAUGAUAGAUCCAGAGGGUUUACCACAGAUCAUGGGGAGGCAAUACAGGUGAGAUGCUGAACAAAAUGUUUGAACACAAGUGAAGUUAUGACACUCUGUUGUGGGACUCUCAUUCAGUUUCUCCCCCCUUGAGAGGCAAAAAACUGUGUUGCUUUUUACCAUCUAACCUGAGUUGAAAUAGAAAUGUCUACUAAAAGAUGAAGUUUGGCAGGGCUGCGGAUCAUCAGGUUUCCCGUGACACAUGUCUUGCUUUAUCGUUGAUUAACCUUUGCCAAAGUCAGCGUGCUCAGUUUCGACUCACGUUUCAGCUUUGACCAUCAUGCUGCUCCAUCUAUCAGCACGUUUUUGGUCGAUCUACACGUGACAGAUACGUAUGGAGCACAUGUAAUAUGUGAGCUAAACUUUAACCAGGAGACCCUUAACCUAAAUGUUAACACCUUCUGUUUCUACCUGUGUCUCAGCCAUUCAGCUCCACUGUAUGAUGUCUGUGACUGCUGGUUGUUUCUGUUUUAACACUUGAAGGAUCUGCACAGUUACAAAAAAGGAAGACAAGGAACAUUAAGUGUAAUUUUUUAUGUGAUUUGUCUUCAGGCUAAAAUUAAAUGUAGGUCUCGAU